rnacentral:sRNA from 1 species
GCUGGGCACAGUGGUGCACACCUGUAAUCCUAGGGGCUUGGGAGGCUGAGAAAGGAGGAUCGUGAGUUUAAGGUCAGCUUCAGUAACUUAAUGAGGCCUUAAGUAACUCAGUGAGACCCUGUCUCUA